GAUGAACGCUGGCGGCGUGCCUAAUACAUGCAAGUCGAGCGAACAGAUGAGGAGCUUGCUCCUCUGACGUUAGCGGCGGACGGGUGAGUAACACGUGGAUAACCUACCUAUAAGACUGGGAUAACUUCGGGAAACCGGAGCUAAUACCGGAUAAUAUAUUGAACCGCAUGGUUCAAUAGUGAAAGACGGUUUUGCUGUCACUUAUAGAUGGAUCCGCGCCGCAUUAGCUAGUUGGUAAGGUAACGGCUUACCAAGGCAACGAUGCGUAGCCGACCUGAGGGGGGGAUCGCCAACACUGGAACUGAGACACGGUCAAGACUCCUACGGGAGGCAGAAGUAGGGAAUCUUCCGCAAUGGGCGAAAGCCUGACGGAGCAACGCCGCGUGAGUGAUGAAGGUCUUCGGAUCGUAAAACUCUGUUAUUAGGGAAGAACAAAUGUGUAAGUAACUAUGCACGUCUUGACGGUACCUAAUCAGAAAGCCACGGCUAACUACGUG
rnacentral:rRNA from 1 species